rnacentral:lncRNA from 1 species
GGUAAAUUGAAAAUCCAGGGGUGGAGUGGACUUCAGAGUUAGUUGAUUCAAUUGCUCAGCAAUAUCUUAGAAGACUCAUCCUCUUACUAUCUUUCCUUUCUCCCACUUUUAAUGUUGGCUUCAUCCUCAUGCCGGUAGCAAGAUGGCUACAGAAGUUCUGGAAAUAUACCAGACGUGGCAAUGCUGCAGAGGAAGGAGGGAGAAUAUGCCUUUCUGCAGAUCUUUCUUGGAGGAGAGAUAAGGAGUUCAUAUGCUGGAAUGAUAGUGACACAGGAGUUUAACACUCCUACAGUAUCCAGAGCCUGGAUCCCUGAGUCAUCAGAUGGAGAAGAACUACUCAGGAGAGUCAUCCAACCUUCAUAGACAGUGGCAUGAGUGGGAAUUAAA